rnacentral:rRNA from 1 species
CGUACACUCCUACGGGAGGCAGCAGUGGGGAAUUUUGGACAAUGGGCGAAAGCCUGAUCCAGCCAUGCCGCGUGCAGGAUGAAGGCCUUCGGGUUGUAAACUGCUUUUGUACGGAACGAAACGGCCUUUUCUAAUAAAGAGGGCUAAUGACGGUACCGUAAGAAUAAGCACCGGCUAACUACGUGCCAGCAGCCGCGGUAAUACGUAGGGUGCAAGCGUUAAUCGGAAUUACUGGGCGUAAAGCGUGCGCAGGCGGUUAUGUAAGACAGUUGUGAAAUCCCCGGGCUCAACCUGGGAACUGCAUCUGUGACUGCAUAGCUAGAGUACGGUAGAGGGGGAUGGAAUUCCGCGUGUAGCAGUGAAAUGCGUAGAUAUGCGGAGGAACACCGAUGGCGAAGGCAAUCCCCUGGACCUGUACUGACGCUCAUGCACGAAAGCGUGGGGAGCAAACAGGAUUAGAAACCCUGGUAGUCCCAUGA